CAGGGGGUGCAAACGUUGCUCGGAAUUAUUGGGCGUAAAGCGCGCGUAGGCGGUCAUUUAUGUCGGAUGUGAAAGCCCUUGGCUCAACUGAGGAAGUGCAUCCGAAACUGAAUGGCUUGAGUACCAAAGAGGGUCGCGGAAUUCCCGGUGUAGAGGUGAAAUUCGUAGAUAUCGGGAGGAACACCGGUGGCGAAGGCGGCGACCUGGGUGGAAACUGACGCUGAGGCGCGAAAGCGUGGGGAGCAAACAGGAUUAGAUACCCUGGUAGUCCACGCCGUAAACGAUGGGUGCUAGAUGUUUCUGGUAUUGACCCCGGAAGCGUCGAAGCUAACGCGUUAAGCACCCCGCCUGGGGAGUACGGCCGCAAGGCUA
rnacentral:rRNA from 1 species